CACGUAGGGGACGAGCGUUGUCCGGAAUCACUGGGCGUAAAGGGAGCGUAGGCGGGUUUCUAAGUCAGGUGUUUAAUCCCGGGGCCCAACCCCGGACAGGCACUUGAAACUGGGAAUCUUGAAUAGUGGAGAGGUCAGUGGAAUUGGAGGUGUAGCGGUGGAAUGCGUAGAGAUCUCCAAGAACACCAGUUGCGAAGGCGGCUGACUGGACACAUAUUGACGCUGAGGCUCGAAAGCAUGGGGAGCAAACAGGG
rnacentral:rRNA from 1 species